AGUUUGUUCACCCCAGAGGCUUAAAUGAAGCACAUUAGCAGCUACUCGGGCAGAUGGUCUCUGCAACAGGAAGGGAAGCUGAGGCUUAGGACAUCUGUGACAAAGUGUUCAGCCCACAACCCUCUUCGAUGCAGAGCCUGGUGUUAGAGAAAAAAACCAUUAAGAUGAUGCAUCACAUUUGAUGAGCCCUGAGAAAAGCCAGUCCUUCUUCCCAUCCAUCCUUUCGUCCAUCCAUCAUCCCAUGUGGCAGAUAGCGGUUAAGAGCACCUGGAAUCAGACUAGAUGCCUGAGUUUGGACUCCAGGUCUGCCACUGUACGUCCUUGGCCAAGUUACUUAACUUCUCUGGGCUCAGUCUCAAGUGCAGGGAAAAAGGUAGUAACAUACCUCAUGAGGUUGAUAAUACUUGUAAAGAAAGGACUAGAAUCUCUGUGAUUCCAAGUUCUUGCAAUAACACUUUGUGUGGAGUAUGAGCUCAAUAAACCUUUGUUGAA